AAAGAAACUGUAAUGGUCAGGCUAUUGUUUUUCUUCUUCCUCUCUCGUUUUCUUCUCCUUUCUGUUUUUCUUUCCCUUUCACCGACUCUUUUCUUAACAGCCGCUAAAGGUUAUUUAAUUAGAUUGUUAUACCCACAUUUAGUGCGAAGGUCGGCUUUAUGGCUUCAUCAAGAGAUUAGUUCCUAUCGGGAAUGUUGAUGGAUUUACACAAAAAUAUAUGGAAAAGAGUUUCUAACACCUAACAGCACCUGUAAAAGAUAGAGUCAGACUCAAAUUAGGAAAUAUAAAUAUAAAGUAUCUAGGAAUAUUUUAUGUGCAAAGAACAUUUUUCCUAAAUCCAGUAGGAUAUCCUAAGAUUUUCAGGACUCAACUUUAUAAAUACCAUCUUUAUUCCAUAACAAAAUCUCUCAUCGAAUAUUCUGCCUCUGUUGUGAACCAAAUUGGUAGCAACAAUUGGAUUUUGGCCUUUGAAAACCCUCAAUUACAGUAUGGCUCGAAACGAAGAGAAAGCCCAGUCGAUGCUAAAUCGAUUCAUAGCCCUAAAAGCGGAAGAAAAAAAGAAGCCCAAAGAACGCCGCCCUUUUCUUGCCUCCGAGUGUCGCGACCUCGCCGAGGCCGACAAAUGGCGUCAACAAAUCAUGCGAGAGAUCGGCCACAAGGUCGCCGAGAUUCAGAACGAUGGCCUCGGGGAACAUCGACUUCGCGACCUUAACGACGAGAUCAAUAAGCUUAUACGAGAGAAGUCGCAUUGGGAACGACGUAUGGUUGAACUCGGCGGCCCGAAUUACGCCAAACAGGCCCCUAAAAUGACGGAUUUAGAAGGGAACAUAGUGGAUGUUCCGAACCCUAGCGGACGUGGCCCUGGGUAUCGGUAUUUCGGAGCCGCGAAGAAGUUGCCGGGAGUUAGGGAGUUGUUUGAGAGGCAGCCAGAGUUGCGAAAGAGGAGAAGGAGAGAUGAUAUUAAUAAGAAUAUUGAUGCGAGUUAUUAUGGGUAUAGGGAUGAAGGUUUAGCUAGAGUGGAGGGGCCAACAGAGGCGAAGAUGAGGACUGAAGCCGAGGAGGAGUGGCGGAGAGUGGAGGAGAUUAGGAGAGAAGCAAGGAGAGGGGCGAAGGAGGUGGUUACCGUGGGAGCUGCUGCGAGAGAGGUUUUGUUUGAGGAAGAGGAGGAUGUGGUGGAGGAGGAGAGGAGGGAGAGGGAGGAGAAAGAGAGGAAGGAUAAGGAGAGGGAAUUUGUCGUGCACGAACCCUUGCCUGAUGAUAAGGAGAUUGAGAGAAUGAUUGUGGAAAGGAAGAAGAUGGAGCUUUUAAGUAAGUAUGCGAGUGAAGGAUUGUUGGAGGAGCAGAGUGAAGCGAUGGACAUGCUUAAUAUCUAUAGGUAGAAUAGAUGUUUCAGGUAUAUUGAUCAAUUCUCUAGGUGCCUUUAUGUUGAAUACAAGAACAGUGGGAUUGAUGUUCAGUGUCAGGUUGCAUUAUAUGUGGCAACAAAGACGGCAUCAAUCAAAAGACCGUCUUUCUUUGUUCCAUCAACAAACGGGUAUGCUCAUGCAGCAAUGCGGUGGAUAGGCUAUGAAACUCGUUGCACGACCUACUGGCCCCAUUCCAUCCUCUGGGGCUUGGCUUAUUCACUGCCAGGGAGUGUGGUUGAUGCAUGGCGUUUGUGCUUUUGUCUUGGCGUUCAAAAGAGGGGCAACUCAAAGAUUCUAAGGAGGAGGAAUGAAAACAGAUUGUUGAGUCUGUUGUAUGUUGUGUUCAAGGAGUUGAAUAUUUUAGGUGUGUUGUAAUUAUUGGAAAUAACUCCAAAAUUUUUGAAAAAAUAAAUUAAGAAUACAACCAAUUGAUUUAA